AAUCCCUUAGCUCAGUGGUUUAGAGCUUCGUACUUAUGGGUUACCUAUGUUAUGCGAGGGUCGCCAGUUCGAUCCUGGCAGGGAUUA